rnacentral:rRNA from 1 species
UACGUAGGGGGCGAGCGUUGUCCGGAUUUAUUGGGCGUAAAGAGCUCGUAGGCGGCUGUUCGAGUCGGGUGUGAAAUCCUGAGGCUUAACCUUGGGUCUGCAUUCGAUACUGGGCGGCUUGAGUCUGGUAGGGGGAUCUGGAAUUCCUGGUGUAGCGGUGGAAUGCGCAGAUAUCAGGAGGAACACCAGCGGCGAAGGCGGCGCUCUGGGCUGGAACUGACGCUGAGGAGCGAAAGCGUGGGGAGCGAACAGG